rnacentral:rRNA from 1 species
GACAGAGGGUGCAAACGUUGCUCGGAAUUACUGGGCGUAAAGCGCACGUAGGCGGAUUGUUAAGUCAGGGGUGAAAUCCUGGAGCUCAACUCCAGAACUGCCUUUGAUACUGGCGAUCUCGAGUCCGGGAGAGGUGAGUGGAACUGCGAGUGUAGAGGUGAAAUUCGUAGAUAUUCGCAAGAACACCAGUGGCGAAGGCGGCUCACUGGCCCGGUACUGACGCUGAGGUGCGAAAGCGUGGGGAGCAAACAGG